GCUGGCGGCAGGCCUAACACAUGCAAGUCGAACGAACUCUUCGGAGUUAGUGGCGGACGGGUGAGUAACACGUGGGAACGUGCCUUUAGGUUCGGAAUAACUCAGGGAAACUUGUGCUAAUACCGAAUGUGCCCUUCGGGGGAAAGAUUUAUCGCCUUUAGAGCGGCCCGCGUCUGAUUAGCUAGUUGGUGAGGUAAAGGCUCACCAAGGCGACGAUCAGUAGCUGGUCUGAGAGGAUGAUCAGCCACAUUGGGACUGAGACACGGCCCAAACUCCUACGGGAGGCAGCAGUGGGGAAUCUUGCGCAAUGGGCGAAAGCCUGACGCAGCCAUGCCGCGUGAAUGAUGAAGGUCUUAGGAUUGUAAAAUUCUUUCACCGGGGACGAUAAUGACGGUACCCGGAGAAGAAGCCCCGGCUAACUUCGUGCCAGCAGCCGCGGUAAUACGAAGGGGGCUAGCGUUGCUCGGAAUUACUGGGCGUAAAGGGAGCGUAGGCGGACAUUUAAGUCAGGGGUGAAAUCCCGGGGCUCAACCUCGGAAUUGCCUUUGAUACUGGGUGUCUUGAGUAUGAGAGAGGUGUGUGGAACUCCGAGUGUAGAGGUGAAAUUCGUAGAUAUUCGGAAGAACACCAGUGGCGAAGGCGACACACUGGCUCAUUACU
rnacentral:rRNA from 1 species